CCCUUUGAACGAACACUGUUGCAUUAAUGCCUGCUAUGAUUUUGUCUGCCACACAUGUCAUUGCUAAAUCCUAUGAAAAGCAGUUGCAGCCGUGCUUACUGCUGGCCGCCUUUUCCCUUUUGAAGCAGCUUUCUUUGACUGGUCUUCAUUAACGCCUAAGCUGGGAAAAUGCCUUCUUUCCGCCUGGCGUUUCUAUUUCUUUGUUUCAAUUUCACUUGUAGGGCUGAAUAGAUGUUUUCAGUGCGUUUCUUAAGAAAAUGAAAGGGAAAUUGAACUUCAUGCAAUUUUAUUUCUUAUUUUUGUAAAAGAGCCCAGCUUGUGCAUUACUGUUGCAUGUUUAUUUGACUCAAUUUCUUCUCCCUAUUCUGAAAAGCCAAGUAACGCUAUCAAAGUUCUCUUCCAGCUCAAAGGCUUUAACAGCCAGCAAAGGUGGAUCAUUCACCAACUGAUAGCAGCAUCUAGGGGAAACCAAAUGAGCGUUAAACAUAUUUACUGGGGGAAUCAGCUAGGAAUGGUAUUCAAAGACCUAUCACUAAUGAAAGCCAGAUGAAACAAGAGACCGAAAACCUAUUGGAUCACUAAUGAAAACCUAAAAAGCUGCAAAGCUCAGAGCAGACACAGAUGUCAAAGGAAACACCAGCCUGCUAGGCUAGAUACCAACUUGCCAAGGAAUUAAUCAUCUUAUUUAAUGGCCAAUACCUGGCUGUGUGGGCAGCCGUGCCAAAGGCAGCAGCUGAGUAAUGUGGGCAUUACUUCUCAUUACUGGUCAUUGCUGCACUUUGGCCAGCGCGUGCCUCAGUUUACUCACCAAUAAGCUAUGCAAGCUUAGCAGGUCCUCAGCUUCACAGGCAUCCAUGAGAAGCCUCUAGUACACCAUGGCUUCAGUAGCAGUAGUCCAGGACUCUGAUGAUUCAGAACGUGGUCUUAGGUUGCCGUUACGUUAGUUGCUUUCUUUGCUGGAGUCCUUUCCUUUGCAGAAUACAGGGUUGGUGUGGGAAGGACAUUAGUACCAUUUUUCACUCUCCUGCCUUCAGAAGGCCAAACUCCAACCUGAUGUAUGACAGCAUCCUGAUGUAUGACAACAUUCUGUUGCUCACGAAAGGCAAAUCAGUCCAGAUGAGUGAGGAAUUAAGUCCAGAGAAAUGCUGUGCUGGUAUGAUAUGCAAUUGGAAGGGCUGAGAAGGUGCAAAUAGCAACUUGGCUGGAUUCUGUCCCUAGGAGAUCAUUUCUCCUUUGCUUGAUUCUUCUCCAGCAAUAAAAGUAGCUGCAGGCUUGGGAUGAUGAGAACAUGGAAAGGCUGUAAAAGGAUUGGGAGUGUCAGGCUGAAACUGCAGUUGCCAGCUCUCAACAUGACAUCACACUUUGGGUUACUGUUGGUUUCCUUCUUUAGAAUGCAGGAACGUGGGAUAUUGCAGAAGUAAAAUCACAUCCAGUGACCUCUGGGACGGUACCAGAGCUGUCGAAGGAGUUAGAUGAUUCUUCAGUGAUUGACCUGGACACUGUCUGGAAGGCUCCCACAGAAUAGUGGGGAAGCUGGCAGGAGAUGAGCAGCAUCAGACAUGAGAUGAGAAAGGGAAGGUGAGGCAGCGGCAUUUGUGAUGGGGAAAGACCUGUUGCCUUUGGGGCCAGGCUCAGCCAGGCUGCGGUGUCCAGCCCAGCCCCAAAGCAAACUUCCCUAAUACCUGUCUUAAGAAGUUUAGAAUCCCCACCCAACACCAG
ensembl:lncRNA